rnacentral:misc_RNA from 1 species
UUCUUGUAGUAAACGCAGGUGCUGGGUGAGAUGAUCCCCUCCGGCGAGCACUCAUGAAUCCUGGGGCAAACCCCACAAGGGAUUCCCUCCAUCAUCCCUCCCUGCGGAGCCCCAGUGACCAGCCGGUAGCACAUUGUGCCGGCCCUGACGGCGCUAAAAUCCCCCGCGCCGGUGCUCUUGACCUCCUCGAGCACCUUGUCGAGCACCAUGGUCUUGAUGAUAUCCCUGACCUUGUCGAUAGUGUACCCGGCCCUGGGGUCUUCCUUGAGAAUGCCUUGGUGGAUCAUCUGCGCGGUCGCGGCGCCGAGCCUCUGGACCUGCGCCUGGCAGCAGCGGCGCGCGGUGGUUACGGCGUCGGUGUCCAGGCGGCCGUCGUGGUACCAGGUGCCCCCGGUGAUCUCGGCGGAGGGCUGGAAGUCGGUGGCCAUGAAGAUCUUCCUGCUGCGGUGGCGCACGUCGCUGACCUCUUUGAGGAGCCCGCUUGCCACGAGGGUGCGCACGACCUUGGUGGCGACGUUGGGGGCCAUCAGCAGCUUCUUGCGGAUGUCCAGCAUCCACAUGCCCUUGUUGCCCGCCUCGAAGAUGAGCUUGUACACCAGGCGCUCCUGGUUGGGGAGUUGGGCGAGGAUCCUCGGGUUGAUGGUCGACUGCUCGGAAUCGGGGUCGGGUUUGGACGGCUGCGCGUCAGGUCGAGGCUUCGAGGCAAGGGAGGGCUCCUCCGGCGGCGACGGCGGGCGUUUUCGCGGUGGCAUGGCGCAGGUAAUGGCGGGUUGGCGGCGGCGGCGGCGGCGCGGGGCAGGGCAGGUAGCACAAAUGCAAAAGGGAGGAAGAAGGAGGAGGUUUUGCUUAUGGGCCGCUGUUGGGCUUUAUUAGGCUCAUGCGUAAAUCAAUGUGCAAUAUAUAUUCUAUUUGGCC